UUAGGUUGCUGCAAAAGUAAUUGCAGUUUUUGCCACUAAAAGUAAUGACAAAGCUACAAUUACUUUUGCACCAACUUAAUACUU
rnacentral:miRNA from 1 species